GUGGGUAGGUAGGCUCACCAAGGCGACGAUCCCUAGCUGGUCUGAGAGGAUGACCAGCCACACUGGAACUGAGACACGGUCCAGACUCCUACGGGAGGCAGCAUG
rnacentral:rRNA from 1 species